rnacentral:rRNA from 1 species
AGCGAGACUGCCGGUAAUAAACCGGAGGAAGGCGGGGAGUGACGUCAAAUCAUCAUGCCCCUUAUGACCUGGGCUACACACGUGCUACAAUGGUUGGUACAACGAGUUGCGAGUCGGUGACGGCGAGCUAAUCUCUUAAAGCCAAUCUCAGUUCGGAUUGUAGGCUGCAACUCGCCUACAUGAAGUCGGAAUCGCUAGUAAUCGCGGAUCAGCACGCCGCGGUGAAUACGUUCCCGGGCCUU